rnacentral:misc_RNA from 1 species
AGAUCAACUUGCUUGAUAUGGAUGCUGCCCUCCCCGAAGGAGCACUAAAGUCAUCAAAGGCUUAUUUGGAAAAACGAUGUGCCUGGCGAGCAUUUGUCAAAUCUACCAAAUCAAUAUUUGAGAUGGUUCAAGCAACAAUUGUAUUUGAAAACAUGAUCAAGUCUGACUACUUGAGAAAUGAAUGGUGGUAUUGGUCAUCACUUUAUACUGCAGCACAAAUAGCUACCAUCUCUUCUCUUGCCCUUAGAAUACACAGCUUGGAUGCUGCCAUUAUCUAUGAAAAACCUUUUCUCCCCUCUCCUAAAGAAAAAGCAGAAGUUGGUAGCAAAUCGGACAAUGAUUCUUCACCUCAUACAGAUCUGGCAAGCAAUUCAAAGCCAAGCAGCAAGCCAAUUCUAAGGACUUCUAAUUUGGAUUCAAUUGAAAAUGUCAAACCACAAAGCAGAUCAGGCAAGAAAAGAAAAGAUUCGGGAG